rnacentral:rRNA from 1 species
UAAGGUUAAGUGAAUAAGGGCGCUCGGUGGAUGCCUUGGCACUAGGAGCCGGAUGAAGGACGGGACUAACACCGUAUGCUUUGGGGAGCUGUACGUAAGCUAUGAUCCAGAGAUUUCCGAAUGGGGGAACCCAGCAUCUUUUAUAGGAUGUUACGUUUGCGUGAAUACAUAGCGCAUUCGAGGUAGACGCAGAGAACUGAAACAUCUAAGUACCUGCAGGAAGAGAAAGAAAAUUCGAUUCCCUGAGUAGCGGCGAACCAGAAACGGGAAAAGCCCAAACCAAUGAGCUUGCUCAUUGGGGUUGUAGGACUCCAAUAUGGUAGUUCUUUCAGAUAGUCGAAUGACUUGGAAAAGUCAGUUAAAGAGGGUUAAAACCCCGUAGAUGAAAUUUGGAAGGCACCUAGGAGGAUCCUGAGUACGGCGGAACACGAGGAAUUCCGUCGGAAUCCGGGAGGACCAUCUCCCAAGGCUAAAUACUCCCUAGUGACCGAUAGUGAACCAGUACCGUGAGGGAAAGGUGAAAAGCACCCGGAAGGGGAGUGAAAUAGAACCUGAAACCGUGUGCCUACAACAAGUCAAAGCCCGUUAAUGGGUGAUGGCGUGCCUUUUGUAGAAUGAACCGGCGAGUUACGAUUGCAUGCGAGGUUAAGUUGAAGAGACGGAGCCGCAGCGAAAGCGAGUUCUGAAUAGGGCGUUUGAGUAUGUAGUCGUAGACCCGAAACCAUGUGAUCUACCCAUGUCCAGGUUGAAGGUGCGGUAAAACGCACUGGAGGACCGAACCACGUACGUUGAAAAGUGCGGGGAUGAGGUGUGGGUAGCGGAGAAAUUCCAAACGAACUUGGAGAUAUCUGGUUCUCUCCGAAAUAGCUUUAGGGCUAGCCUCGGAAUUGAGAAUGAUGGAGGUAGAGCACUGUUUGGACUAGGGCCC